rnacentral:tRNA from 1 species
GCCGGAGUAGCUCAGACUGGCCAGAGCGAUUCCUUCGUAAGGAAUAUGUCGGGGGUUCGAAUCCCCCCUCCGGCU